rnacentral:rRNA from 1 species
CGUCGAACGAGAAGCCCUUCGGGGUGGAAAGUGGCGAAAGGGUGAGUAACCCGUGAGUAACUUGCCUCCGAAUCGGGGAUAACAGUUGGAAACGACUGCUAAUACCGGAUGUGAAUACUGAAUCGCAUGUUUUAGUAUUUAAAGAUCUUUUGUUCGGAGAUAGGCUCGCGUCCCAUUAGCUUGUUGGUAAGGUAACGGCUUACCAAGGCUUAGACGGGUAGGUGGUCUGAGAGGAUGGUCACCCACACUGGGACUGAGACACUGCCCAGACUCCUGCGGGAGGCUGCAGUCGAGAAUCUUCCGCAAUGCGCGAAAGCGUGACGGAGCAAUGCCGCGUGAAUGAUGAAGGCCUUCGGGUCGUAAAGUUCUGUCAGGGGUGAAGAACAUUGACAUUAACCCCAGAGGAAGCCACGGCUAACUACGUGCCAGCAGCCGCGGUAAUACGUAGGUGGCGAGCGUUAUUCGGAUUUACUGGGCGUAAAGGAUUCGUAGGGGGCUUAAUAAGUCUGGUGUGAAAUUUCGGGGCUCAACCCCGAAGCUGCAUUGGAAACUGUUUAGCUUGAGUUCCGUGAGAGGUAAGUGGAAUUCGUGGUGUAGCGGUGGAAUGCGUACAUAUCACGAGGAACAUCAAAAGGCGAAAGC